GCACUGCUGACGAGUCCCAUACAGGACGAAACUGUUGUCCAGUGC
rfam:Echinostoma caproni strain Egypt genome assembly, scaffold: ECPE_scaffold0004142